rnacentral:misc_RNA from 1 species
UACAGAGGGGGCAAGCGUUAUUCGGAAUUAUUGGGCGUAAAGGGCGCGUAGGUGGCUUUGUAAGCGGAAGGUGAAAUCCCUCGGCUCAACCGAGGAACUGCCCUCCGAACUGCGGAGCUUGAGUCCGGGAGAGGUGAGUGGAAUUCCCAGUGUAGCGGUGAAAUGCGUAGAUAUUGGGAGGAACACCAGUGGCGAAGGCGGCUCACUGGACCGGAACUGACGCUGAGGCGCGAAAGCGUGGGGAGCAAACAGG